GAUGAACGCUAGCGGCAGGCCUAACACAUGCAAGUCGAGGGAGGAGCUUUCGGGCUUCGACCGGCGUACGGGUGCGUAACGCGUAUACAAUCUGCCUUUCACAUAGGGAUAGCCCGAAGAAAUUUGGAUUAAUACCUAAUGGUAUAUAGGAGUGGCAUCACCUUUAUAUUAAAGCUGAGGCGGUGAAAGAUGAGUAUGCGUUCUAUUAGCUAGUUGGAGAGGUAACGGCUCCCCAAGGCGACGAUAGAUAGGGGUUCUGAGAGGGAUAUCCCCCACACUGGUACUGAGAUACGGACCAGACUCCUACGGGAGGCAGUAGUGAGGAAUAUUGGAAAAUGGUCGGAAGACUGAUCCAGCCAUGCCGCGUGCAGGAAGACGGCCUUAUGGGUUGUAAACUGCUUUUGCAGGGGAAGAAUAAGGAGUACGUGUACUUUGAUGACGGUACUCUGCGAAUAAGCAUCGGCUAACUCCGUG
rnacentral:rRNA from 1 species